GACGAACCGUGCGAACGUUAUUCGGAAUCACUGGGCUUAAAGCGCGUGUAGGCGCCCGGUACGUCCGUCGCUGAAAUCCCCCGGCUCAACCGGGGAAGUGGCGUGGAUACGACCGGGCUGGAGGGGGGUAGGGGGAGCCGGAACUUCCGGUGGAGCGGUGAAAUGCGUUGAGAUCGGAAGGAACGCCCGUGGCGAAAGCGGGCUCCUGGACCCCACCUGACGCUGAGACGCGAAAGCCAGGGGAGCGAACGGG
rnacentral:rRNA from 1 species